ACAUGACCUCCCAUGGCUUCAAUUCAGAUCUAAACAAAAUGAAGACAAAGAAAAACAAACCAGUGAUUUAAUUUGCAGCCCUUGUCAAGCUUUGAAAUUUCCUUAAUUUCUAUGAACACCCUGAUAGUAGAUCCUUGAAAACCAGAGGAGCAAUUACUUUUAUGUACUAGUGAAAACUGAAGGUGCAAUAAAGAGAAUGAAUUUGUUUAAUUAAUUAACAAGUAGACAAGCAGAUGAUCCUAUACAAACAGGACACAGACUUCUCACCAAACCAAGUAGUAGAAAACAAAUUAAGCUAUAAAAGGAAUAGAAAUAAAAAUGCUGACAGAAUCAUCACAGAUGACCACAGAAAGGAGAGUGCUAGAUUUUGAAAGCCUGAAAACCGACCAGAAACAAAGAAAACCCAGAUAGAGAAAGAGAGCUGCAAGUUAAACCUUUGAACCUUUGUCAAAACUAGGAUAACCCGAAAGAGAAAAUCAAUGACAAAAGGUGGCGGUGGGUAUGCUUAAUAAAGAAGGAAAAGCAACAUGUCA
rnacentral:misc_RNA from 1 species